CAGAUUUAGGAACAUUUUCUCUCUUGAGCUAUCAUUUAUAGCAAUUUGCCAGCUCUCUGAAGGGGAUAAAAUCAGCCCACUGUUUCAAGGUGACUGCUGAUGACUAUUGAACUGUAAGAUGAAACUUGAUGCUGGACUCCAGAUGAACCUACCAUGAGAAAAUUUUUCCUUCUGGCCUCCUUGUUACUCCAAUAUGACCCAGGUCACUGAUAUACACCCCUAUGACUUACCCUCAAUGAGGAAGACAACAGGACAGCUCCAUCCCAGCACCGAGAGACAAUUAAGCCUAACUUCACAAUGGUUGAUCAGUCAUGCAUUCAUAGAAGGAUCUUGAUCAAAGAGGGGCGUGUGAAAGUUGAUCACACACAUUGGGUCAUUCUUACAAUAUAAAACUAAAACAGUCAAGAGUUCAGGGGGAAGAAGCACUCAGGGCAUUAUUACAUUGCUCUAAGAAUGUAAUUAUCUACCAGCCUGGAUGAUAAAACUGCCUGUUAUAUCCUGAAAACACUUUUAUCUAACAGCUACUGAAACAACCUGCUCAAAACUCUAAGACCACUUUUACCCAAGACUAUCACUCACCCAUCAGAGCCUGCUAGCUCCACAAUACGUUACCAGUACCAAUGAACUUUCUAGAAAAACUGUAUGUGACAUUUCUCCUUUUAUAAAACCUGCAACCUCCUCUUUCUUCUUCAGAAAUACUAAAGGCCACCGAAUCUGUAUGUAUGCACCAAACUGCAAUUUUUCCUCCUGUAAUAAAAUGUUAAAUUUAGAUAUU